UACGGGAGGCAGCAGUGGGGAAUAUUGCACAAUGGAGGAAACUCUGAUGCAGCAACGCCGCGUGGAGGAUGACACAUUUCGGUGCGUAAACUCCUUUUAUAUAGGAAGAUAAUGACGGUACUAUAUGAAUAAGCGCCGGCUAACUCCGUGCCAGCAGCCGCGGUAAUACGGAGGGCGCAAGCGUUACUCGGAAUCACUGGGCGUAAAGAGCGUGUAGGCGGGUUAAUAAGUCAGAUGUGAAAGCCAAUGGCUCAACCAUUGAACUGCAUUUGAAACUGUUAACCUAGAGUAUGGGAGAGGUAGAUGGAAUUUCUGGUGUAGGGGUAAAAUCCGUAGAGAUCAGAAGGAAUACCGAUUGCGAAGGCGAUCUACUGGAACAUUACUGACGCUGAGACGCGAAAGCGUGGGGAGCAAACAGGAUUAGAUACCCUGGUAGUCCACGCCCUAAACGAUGUACACUAGUUGUUGCUAUGCUAGACAUAGCAGUAAUGCAGUUAACACAUUAAGUGUACCGCCUGGGGAGUACGGUCGCAAGAUUAAAACUCAAAGGAAUAGACGGGGACCCGCACAAGCGGUGGAGCAUGUGGUUUAAUUCGACGAUACGCGAAGAACCUUACCUGGACUUGACAUAGUAAGAACAAUUUAGAGAUAGAUUGGUGUCUGCUUGCAGAAACUUAUAUACAGGUGCUGCACGGCUGUCGUCAGCUCGUGUCGUGAGAUGUUGGGUUAAGUCCCGCAACGAGCGCAACCCUCGUCGUUAGUUGCUAACAGUUCGGCUGAGAACUCUAACGAGACUGCCUGGGUAACCAGGAGGAAGGUGAGGACGACGUCAAGUCCUCAUGG
rnacentral:rRNA from 1 species